ensembl:lncRNA
GCGGAUUUUUCCAGAAUGAGUUUUAUUUUUGUGCUUUUUUUGAAUUGGCGAAAUUGCAAUCGCACAAAAUUGUCUUGCGCGGUCUUUCACAGUGGCGUUUGUUGCUAAUUGAGAACUUUUUAGCGGUACUCGUGUCCGAUGCACGUGAAUUCUAAGAGCGCUUUGGCCGAAUGCUCGUCGUGAUGAAGUCACGUGACGUGUCUCGGCCCAAAUCUGCAGAAAAUCUGCAGGCGUUUUAAUAAAAGAGGUUGCUUGAUUUUGCAUUCAUUACUACCAGCGCAAAAUCCUUGUCUCAUUAAGUUCUUGAGAGAGAAGGAGAUGCCGGUGAAGGGAACAGCCAGUUUACAGCCGCUCGUGGACGUUCCACAACAGUAUAUAUAACUAUAAACCGUUAAAAAAGCGCCACAUGUCGAUCGUUCAUUAAUUAAAUAUAGUAACUGUUGGCAAAUCUCUGAGGUAUAAGCAGAAUAAGACGCUUCAGAAGUGCACGUAUUAUUUUUGUAUAACAUCAUGGGUCAUGAUGUGUUAUUCCUUACAUAACAUACUUUUUUUCUUCUUCUUUUUUAUCUAAAUUUUUUUUUUUUUUUUUACAUUUUUAAGAAGCAACUACAACUUCAAACAAAAUAAAAUCAGAAAUCAAGUAUGACCAAAAACGGACAGCAGUACUGAUGUGCGUUUAUGUUGUUGAUGGAUUCCUGAUGAUAAUGACUCACUAUGCUCAUACAUUCAUGCAGCAGGAAGAGAAAGAAAAAAUAAAAUAGUGAAUAAGGAACUGGAAAUGUGUGUCCUCUUGAUGCCCUUUCGAAAUCCCAUCUCGGCCUGGUCUCAGAGAAGUGACUAAGAGUCCCAGUGCACCAGGCAGACAGACAGACAGACAGGCAGACAGACAGGCAGGCAGACAGACAGGCAGGCAGACAGACAGGCAGGCAUGCAGGCAGACAGACAGACAGGCAGGCAUGCAGACAGACAGAAGGAGGGUUGAGUUUAUGUGUGCUGUGUUGGAUGUACAGUGACAUUACGUUUCAGCCAUAAAUAGAUCCGUCUCAGUGAUUCUACCAUGCACCAUAGCUGGUGCAAAUGGGUUCAUCUUCCUGUCUCUGAAAACCUGUGUGUGUGUGUGUGUGGGUGUGUGUGGGUGGGUGUGUAUGUGUGUGCGCUAGUAUGUCUGCUCUGCUGCAGCUGAUGCUUUGAACUACUUCUUGUGGUUGAAAUAUGUGAAAAAUGCCACGUGUGUUUGUAGUGUUUGUGUGCACAUGGCCUUAAGUCACAUCGUGUUCAGACGCUCUACAUUUCCUCUAGACGAGAGCGAGAGUGUGUGUGUGUGUGUGUCCCAUGCCCUUAAUGUACGGUGUGUUUUUUUCCUCUCCAUCUUUCAGUGUGUCAUGUUGUUUUUAACUCUCAGCUGAGGCAAAACUGGGCCACAGAGUCGUCGACUCUGUAAAUGAAGACACUUCUAGUUCGUCUUCUCUCUUAUAUGCUCUGAGACUUGGCCCUGGAUGUCUCUUUUAAUCCACGUCUCUUUUAAUCCACAGUUGAGGCCAUGAAUUUCCAUACGCCUUUGCAGAAUCUGCGAAAAUGUUAAUAAUAAUAAUAAAAGAGAUCAGAAAAACUGUGUUCACGUUUUGUGAUCGAUGUUCACGAGUCCCUUGUUUGUCCUGCCCACUGUUCUUCAAGAAAAAGUCCUCCAGGAUCUGCACAUUCUUUCCUUUUCCAGCAUUUUCUGCAUAUUUGACCCCUUUCCGACAGCGCCUAUAUGAUUUUGAGAUCCAUCUUUUCACACUGAGGACGACCGAGGGACUCGUACACGACUAUUACAAAAGGUGCAAACAUUCACUGAUGCUCAAGAGAGCAACACGAUACAUUGAUAGCCAGGGGGGUGUCAACUUUUGAACAGGGUUAUCUGUGUAAAUUGUUAUAAUUGUGUCUUCUGGGAAACAUGUAAAUAUCUUCUGAAGGGCUGUACUAAUAAAAAAUUAAUUAUAUAAAAAAAAAAGAUCUUGACCUCAGCUGUAUGUGUUUAUCAAUUACGAGUUUCAACUCAUUUCAGUACGAAUUCACAGCACUGUAAUAUCGAAACAGGAAAAGUUGACACCACUACACUUGUCUCUUCAAUAAGGAAUAAAACACUUGCGGGUGUGCCUUUAUAUGGAGACAAACAACACUGGUGGUGACGUGAUGCGGCCCGGCACGACACGUGAUUACUGUUACCACCUCGCCGCUGAUUAUUUUCUAAUAGCAGCACGUCUACUUAGGCAACCUAUUUUUUUUUUUAAGUACAAACUUUUAUGGAUUUUUAUUUUAUGACUUCAACGUCUUAUGACAUCUCAUUUCUAAUAUAUUACACAAAUAUACAGGUUUAAGACGCACAAAUAUACACAUUUUCAUGAUCAAUUUCAGUUAAACCACACAUGCAGUGUACGAGUUUUGAUGGAAACACUUGUUUUAUCUGCUAUUUUGUACUACAACAAUUUUAUCUACUGUACCUAUUUGAUCUACUAAACCGUACUAUACUACACAAUAGUAUUACUAUUUUACCUACUGUACUGUACUAGAAUAUAAUAUACUAUAGCUCAGCUUAGGAGCAUGAUAGAGCAAAACUAUGUGCACUGAUGUGUUAGUCUCGAUCUCCCUAACGCACACUGUGAAUUUGGGGAAGAUCCGAGAACGUCAAAUUUUUCACCCAAAAUAGAAAAAUGGUAAGGGGUUAGUUAACCUUUGUGAUUUUUUGGGGGGUGAAAAAUUCAUCGUUCCCAGAUUCACACCAAAUUCAUACCGUGCGUUAGGGAGGUCAAAACGAACCGAAGAGUCUGAUUCGUUUCAUCCGAUCAUGCUCCACUAAUAAAUGUUAUUUAUUUAUUUAUUAAAGAACGACAUGUACUUUUUCAUUGUCCCCUCUCUUUCUUUCCCAUUCUUGAAGUUAAUAAGACAAAAAUGCAGCUUGUCACGUUGCAGAGAAAACUCAGAACUCAAAGCGUCAACUCCUCGGCCCUGAAAAGUUUCCUCUUUACCCGCUGACACUGGAGACUCCUUCCAAAAAGGCUACAUUUUCUCCUUACAGAAAAAACUACAUCACCAUAUCAAUGAACAAUUACACACCUUAUAAAAUCUGCUUAUGUGAGGCAUCUACCGUACAAGUCGCUGCUGUUGAAUGAGCUGUUACUAUAGAAACCAUAGACCAUAGAGAGAGAGAGAGAGAGAGAGAGAGCGCUCAAUAAUAUAAUCCUUGCAGCCGGAAUUACUGUCAGACCAAUCAGAAUCGAGACUUCAACAGAGCCGGGGUAUAAAACAGAUAUAUCCAUUUAUCUUAAUGGAUAAUAAUUGAAAAGAAUAUCUGAUCCAUCUGCAAGAUCAGACCUGAAAAUGGUGAGAGGAUACACAGUGACUGAUACGGUUACAAAAAAAUGUUGUAACAUUUUUUAAAAAUCUGAACCAGAGGUGUAAUUAUCUCUGAUUUUGCAUCUGUGUUCUCUUCUUCAAUUACACACACACACACACACACACACACACACACACACACUCUCUCUCUCACUCAUUCGUGCAUACAGGGUAUUAAUUAAGAUCUUAAUCGUGGAGACGUGGCUCCUGGGUCUCUGAAGACUCCUCUCUCUCUCUCACACACACACACACACACACCCAAGGUUAUAUAACAGUGACUGAUGAGGGCUCUGGAGAGAGUCAGAGAUAAGCGGAGAGAGAAAAUAGCUUUUAAACAGAGGAAAUAAACAUAAUUUCUCACAAUAACGAUGAUGGCCGUGUGCUAGAGAUGUUUGACAGGCUAAUGCAGAAGGGGGCUGAGAGUCAGGAUGCUGUUAAACUCUUAAUACAACAGCAUGUAAAGCUGAUGGGCUUCGUUUUUGGUAAAGAGUAAACCCCUUCAACCAGCCACUUUAAUAGGAACACCCGUACUUCUGGUCAUUCAUGGAGUCAUUAUCUAAUCUACUAAUCAUGUGGAAGCAGCACAAUGCAUUAAAUCAUGCAGAUGCAGGUCAAGAGCUUCAAACAUCAGAAUUAAGGAAAGUUUUUGAGCUCAGUCACUUUGGCUGUUGCAUAGUUUUAUUGAUGAGAUAGGUCAGAUAAUCAAAUAAUAAUAAAAUAAUCACUCUUUACAACCGUGGUGAGCAGAAAAGCAUCUCAGAAUGCAGAACAUGUCAAACCGUGAGGCGGAUGAGCUCCAACAGCUGAAGAGCACAUCG